rnacentral:rRNA from 1 species
AUUGAACGCUGGCGGCAUGCUUUACACAUGCAAGUCGAACGGCAGCGCGGGCUUCGGCCUGGCGGCGAGUGGCGAACGGGUGAGUAAUACAUCGGAACGUGCCCAGUAGUGGGGGAUAGCUCGGCGAAAGCCGGAUUAAUACCGCAUACGACCUGAGGGUGAAAGCGGGGGAGCUUCGGACCUCGCGCUAUUGGAGCGGCCGAUGGCAGAUUAGCUAGUUGGUGGGGUAAAGGCCUACCAAGGCGACGAUCUGUAGCUGGUCUGAGAGGACGACCAGCCACACUGGGACUGAGACACGGCCCAGACUCCUACGGGAGGCAGCAGUGGGGAAUUUUGGACAAUGGGCGAAAGCCUGAUCCAGCAAUGCCGCGUGUGUGAUGAAGGCCUUCGGGUUGUAAAGCACUUUUGGCGGGAACGAAAAGGACUGUGCCAAUACCACGGUUCGAUGACGGUACCCGAAGAAUAAGCACCGGCUAACUACGUG